UACGUAGGUGGCAAGCGUUGUCCGGAAUUAUUGGGCGUAAAGCGCGCGCAGGUGGUUUCUUAAGUCUGAUGUGAAAGCCCACGGCUCAACCGUGGAGGGUCAUUGGAAACUGGGGAACUUGAGUGCAGAAGAGGAUAGUGGAAUUCCAAGUGUAGCGGUGAAAUGCGUAGAGAUUUGGAGGAACACCAGUGGCGAAGGCGACUAUCUGGUCUGUAACUGACACUGAGGCACGAAAGUGUGGGGAUCAAACAGG
rnacentral:rRNA from 1 species